rnacentral:rRNA from 1 species
GAUGAACGCUGGCGGCGUGCCUAACACAUGCAAGUCGAGCGAUCUUCUUCGGAAGAGAGCGGCGGACGGGUGAGUAACGCGUGGGUAACCUGCCUCAUACACAGGGAUAACAUACCGAAAGGUAUGCUAAUACAAGAUGAUAUAAGAGAUUCGCAUGGAUAUCUUAUCAAAGCUCCGGCGGUAUGAGAUGGACCCGCGUCUGAUUAGCUAGUUGGUAAGGUAACGGCUUACCAAGGCGACGAUCAGUAGCCGACCUGAGAUGGUGAUAGGCCACAGUGGAACAGGGACACGGUCCAAACUCCUACGGGAGGCAGCAGGGGGGAAUAUUGCACAAGGGGCGAAAGCCUGAUGCAGCAACGCCGCGUGGGCGAUGAAGGCCUUCGGGUCGUAACGCUCUGUCCUCAAGGAAGACAAUGACGGUACUUGAGGAGGAAGCCCCGGCUAACUACGUGCCAGCAGCCGCAGUAACAC